CAUUCUCCCGUCCUAUCGUUAUCCCUCCGUGGUGAAGUUACUUCCAGGGACCGAUCACAUCGCUCGCUGGCGGACGGACCCUCCCUCGCUGUGUUUGCUGCCUGUUGCAUCGCUGUUCGUCUGCAGAAAAGGAUUUCCAUCUUGCUGUCGUCGCCUGCAGCCGAGUUUAGACGGUUGCAGCUGUUCUUAGCAGCUCCAGCGCCGGCUGCUGUGGAGCUGCUGGCAGACGCAUCCGCAUCACUUUUCAUCUGAUCCUGUUUUGCUGCAGCUCCAGUCGCUUUAUUCCCAUCCACACUGUCCAUCUUCACCAGACACAGGGUCUGCAGCAGGCCCAUGGUGUCAAAGUUCUCUCCGGAGUAUUCGCCUCGUCUCCUCAACAACUCCAACACCUGCAGGAAGGAAGACACACAACAGAACUGUACUGCACUGCACUGUGGGAUUGUUAUCGGACAGUAGUGGACAUGUUAUGGACCUACUCUAAUAACACCGUCCACAGUAAAUACAGUGUACUACAGUACACUGGCACACAAACUCACAAUACACACUCACACACCUUGAUGUAUUUGUAGGACUUCAGUUCGCUGAUGUUCUCGUUCAGGAAGAGCAGAUACAGAGAGAGAUCAUCCCACUGGCCCCCGGGGGAGGGCAGGACGCUCACUGUGGGGAGGGACUGGUAGGUUUCCAGGAAUCGGGCGUAUCCAUCGCAGAGGAGGGGGCGGAGACUGGCAUAGAUCACGGCUGGAAUCAGUGCAACGAACACGAUCAAGUUGACGAGACUUGAAAAAGAGGAGAAAAAGAAAGAGAUUGCAGUUUGAUGCAGAGAGCAGGACUAUAUUACAGUUUCAGUACAACAUGACAGGACGAAGAGAAAUCCACAUGAGGUUUCACUGGAAAACCUCAACCUGAUGGAUUUCAGGUGAACCACACACUGAACGAACCUCAAUCUAUUUCUCUAAUAACUGAACUUUGUGCUGCACAGACAAAUACCUGAGCAAAGAGAAGACUCCCACAGCGAUGAGCUUACACUGCACCUUGUCGGGGACGCUGGGGUCGAAGGCGAGAAGGCCGACACGGAGGGUGCAGCCGAACUCGUCCGUGACGGAGGCCAGGCGAAGCCUGAACUCACCUCACCAACGUGUUGUGAACGGGAACAAAGACCGAAAGGACGACGUGACAACCAACAAACUGUCUCUGAGAUCAUGUGCGUUUCAGGUGAGUGGAUGGACAUUUAGCUGUCAGGGACAGAGGGCCCCAAAACACAUCCACACAAACGAUCCACACAAAUCUCCUGUACCUGUCUGCUGUGAGCAGCCCUGAUGUGGCCAUGCGUUUGGCCAGAGUGACAGCGCGGUUGUAACACCGGUCCAACUCCUCCAUGAUGAAGCUGAGGUCCGACUGCAGGAGGGGGGCAGCAGAAAACCUCCAGAACAACGCCGGGAUGUACAUCAGCACUGCCACCAACAGCAAGAUGUAGGGGAAGAACUGGACAAACAUGUUCAGCACAAGUUUGUUAUUACUGCAUGGCAUGGCUGUCUGCAGAGCACAGUGUAAAGCUGUCGUGUUGUGUGUCACAAAGCAUUUUACCCAUAUGGUGCGUGGACAGGUUUUACCCGGCAAACUAUCCAACAAUUACACAUUUAAACCUCUAACACUGUGCAUGUGUGUGUGUGUGUGUGUGACUGUACCUUGUGAAGCCACAGAGGCAGAGUGUGUGUGUGUACCGCUGCCCAGCAGUACGAGUCCACAUAAGCAGCCUGCCUCCAUGAGAAGUUAGCAGGAGCAAAGCAGCUGAUCUGAGUACCUGAGAAACAGAGAGAGGCGGAAAACAACACCGACGCACAAAAACGUGAGAGGAGGAGAUAAGAACAGGAGCGAAGAACAAAUCAGCUGUUUUCUUAUACGGAGCUAAAAGAUGUGGGAGACUACACAUUCAACAGAUGGAACAACAAACACAACUUUCGCAACGAACCUUCUUCCUGUGGAACCAAAAAAACUCCUUCCGCCCCUCAGCAAUGCCAG